rnacentral:lncRNA from 1 species
GCGCGGGCAUCGAGGGAGGAACUUCGGCUGUGACAAUCUUUCUGUACUUCCUUCAUUCGAAAUUCAAACUCGAAAGUAGGGAGACUGGUGUUGGAUAUAAAAUACCCUCAGUCGAAGUUCUUAAUAGGAUUGACCCUCUCAAGAUCCCUCCGACUUUCGACCGCAGACGGUAUCUCCCCGAAUUUCUCCAACAGUCAGAUUCCCACAGUGCUGACUGAAUUCUCCC